rnacentral:lncRNA from 1 species
CACAAGCAAAGUUAGUUUUAAUACUCAGUAUAUUACAUCUCAUGAAAAGAAUUUACAGUUUUUUCUAUUAAAGCUGUGGGAGUUUUCUUCUAAAAUGUUUUUUUUUGUCGUCCUUGUAAAAUGUUCUACAUUCGUCAUUUUCAGGCUAUCUUUGAUUUCGAAAGCUGUGGGCGUUUUCUUUUUUUAAUUUUUUUAAUUUUUUUUUUUUUUUGUCUUUUUCUACGAAAAUAAAAUAGCGUGCACUGUAUUGUUUCUUUCAACUUUAUUUUUUGACUAGUGAAAGACUAGACAUUUUGUUGCCCUGCCCCUAUAUUUUUUGUGUUUAUUUUAAGGUUGUUUUUUCUCUUUUUAUAAUGACCGUAAAAUGAGUUUUUACAAAAUCUGCUUCAAAUAUGUAAUGAAAACCUUGAUAAUAUGUAAAUGUACUAAAAACAAAAUCUUGAUAUGGGUACAUGUGAAAAUAGUAUAUUUCUGUUCUAAGAAUAUACUGUUUUAUGUUCUAAAAUAUCAACAAAUAGAUAUCUUUGCAUUUUUUUUUAUACAUCAAUAUUAGUAUUACCUACAUUGUCUAAGAGAUGUAACCCAACUUAUGUCGCAACUAGAACUACAUCUCAGAAAUCACCGAGCCGAGAGAAAAUUGUAAGAGUCCUCGACCAGCAAAACGUAGGAACAUCAACUCAAAGCAGUCGAGAAUAAGAACCACUGACUUGCAUCAAAACAGAAGAUCUAACCACACCACACAGAAUCCGAAAAGAAGACAUCCACCAUCGUUUAAACUUUCAACCCUUGACCCAACCACCGGUGAUAAAGACUUGUCCAUUAUAGUUUACUAAAGUUUAUGAUCAAACUUAAAAUAUCUGUUGUUAGAUUGAUACCUCUAAUUCCUUUGAAUUGCUUCUUAGAUUUCCACUUUACCCUUCCACGAUUUUUAAGCAAUGGAAAAUUAAGUUUCAUUUGUUUCAGAUUUUAAUAUUAAUCCCCUUCUAUGCAAAUUGAGGGACCACGUAGAAAGUUGUGAGAAUCUCAAUACACAAAAGAUAUAGAAACAAUGAUUACAUGCACAAGCACGAGGCCAUAAAUUUCCUUAUCCUAUACACAUUUUCAAUAAAGAUGUAACAUUCCAAACAGAAAACCCUCUUGUAGCUCACUCUACAAAAAAAAGAGUAUAGAAUUCCAAUAUUAAAGUUUAUAGGUCGACUAUUUCAAAACCAAUUGCUAUAAAGUAAAUUGAUUAAUAUUUUUAUACUCUCUUCGAUUUAUAAUAUAAGUUGUUUUGGACCAAUUUUUUUGUUUUACAAUUAAAUUGUUUUUAAGUUUUUAUGCAAACUAUAUAUUUAUUUUAAUAUUUUAUAAUUAUUUAUAUUAUGCAGUCUCUUUUGUGAUUGGUUGAACUUUUUAAAAGUAAAUAUUCUUAAUCUUCGUACUUUUAGGUAAAACAACUUAUAUUGUGAAACGGAGGGAGUAUAUCAUUUACAAUUUCUCUUUAUUUAGUUUUGUGGUGAUUCCGAAUAUUAAUUACAACUUGUACCAUUUAAUUCAACCAUAUUCGAAGAAAACAUUAAAGGCAAAACAAAUUAAGGGGAAAAAGAAAUCAAAAGUUAAAAAAAAAAAUUAAGACCAAUGAGAAUAGAUAAGGGGUAAAAGACAAAAAGAGAAUAUAAAAAAAACAAAUAGCAUUUGGCGCCAAAAGUAAAACUAAAAUGGUCAUGUCACGUGAUGUUAAUUUUUGCUCUACGACCAAAGCAAAACAAACCUAAAGUUUUCCAAAUCUCUGGGUCCCACUCUCAGAUGUGCUGACUUUUAUUUUUUUUACUUUUGUCUUAAAUCUUUGGAAAUUUUCAGUUUUAAUUUAAUUUAAUUCAUCUCUCUUUCUCACUCUAUAAAUCCCCACAGAUCCGUCACACUUCACCUAGAGACCCUCCCACAGCUUUCUCGAUAACUGACAAUCCAACGGUUGAGAUUCAGUUCUUCUAGAUAAAUUCACAUAUCCAAAGGACACGUGGCGGCGAGAGAUGAAAGAAAGUAGCCGGAAGCAAGGAGCUGCGUCACCGUGUGCUGCGUGUAAGCUUUUGCGGCGGCGGUGCGCUCAAGAUUGCGUUUUCUCGCCGUAUUUUCCGGCCGAUGAGCCUCAGAAAUUUGCUAAUGUUCAUAGAGUGUUCGGUGCUAGCAACGUCAACAAGAUGCUUCAGGUUUCUUUCUUCUUGUUCUUCUUAAGAAUAUCUAAAACGUGCUUACUCAUAUGUUGGGUUAGGUUUAAUUAGGAUGAUUUUCUUGUUUCUUAUUUUAGAUGAGACAUUACUAUCAUUUCCAUAACUUUUUAUUGACAACUACCACAUGGGCCGACCCGUUUAUAUUAUAAGUUUAGGGAUUUAAAAACAAAAUUGUUGAAUUUUAAGAAUUUAGGAAUAUGUUACAUUUAUUAGCUGAUGUUGAAUUUUAACCAUAUUAACUUUUGUUAGCUAAUGUUAAUGAUAUGAUUUACAUUUCUUAGCUAGCUGAUGUAGAGUCUACAUUUGAGAUGGAUUAUAUAAAUUUUAUAUAGUCUUGCGAGAUUAAUUGGUCUAGUGGCUGACAAAAUGUUUUAAAAACUCAACAGGAAUUACCAAUCCACCAGCGAGGGGACGCUGUGAGCAGCAUGGUUUACGAGGCUAAUGCAAGAGUGCGGGAUCCGGUUUACGGUUGCGUUGGGGCAAUUUCGUCCCUCCAGCAACAGAUAGAUGUGUUGCAAGCUCAGCUAGCUCUAGCUCAAGCUGAGGUGGUGCAUCUACGUGUACGCCAGUCGACUAAUUUCCCAGGGCACGGACUAUGCCCGGAUAGUCCGAGUAGCAGCGGGUCACCGUCUUCGAAGCAAGUGAGUCCACAGGACAACAAGGGCAUGUUUAGCCAUAUGGACAUUGUGGAUGAAGCCAGUUUGGGAGAGUCUAUGUGGUCUUGCUAGUCAAUAAUGCUCUCUUUCUGCUACUGCAAUUUCCUCUUCCUUUUUUGGGAAAUUUCGGGAUUAUUAUAUAUUAAAUUUAGGGGUAGGAUAUGAAAAUGCUCUGUUUUGACUACAGAGUGAAAUUAUUAACAUGAUAUAGAUACAUAAAAAUACUAAAUAUAUUUAUAUAUUAUAAAUCUCUCUCUAUAUAUUUAUUAGUAUUUGUAACUUUGUAAUUCCGGGGUAUUUGGGAUUUGGUGUAUGUGUAGGACCUUUGGAUCAUGAUCCGGUAGGGUUAUUUUGAUCAUUUCCAACCGAGGAGGGAUCUUUGUUAUUGACCUAAUGUAAAUUUGUGAGAUAUAUUAUUUAUCUAUAUCUAUAUACAAUUAUGAUCAUGUAACCCAUGGUGUGUGCUUGACUCUGUGAGCAUAUUAUCGUGUAAUGGUCAUCUUUGAUACUAGCUAAGUCUAGCUUAGCAAUUAGCACUAAGCACUUGUAUGGGCCUGAAUUUUUAUUAUGCAAACUUAUGGCCCAUUUGUCUUUAUUUUUUGGUUUCCUUGCAAACAUUUGCCAUUUGAUAGUCGCUGAUAGAAUCGCUCGCAUAUGAAGGAAACAGAAAGACCGGACCGGAGCAUGUGCUUGUGGUAAGAAAUUUACAGUGAGCUUAAGAAGAAACACAAGUAAUUUAGUCUAUUAUAGUUCAAGAGCUUCUCCUGCAUUCAUGCAAAUGCAAGAGUGGUAAAAUAGCAUUAUACUAAGUAAAUUUGGUUAUGCUCCUGUGCGUUAUAUCAGGAUAUUCCCUUCAAGCAAUUGAGCUUCACAUAGCAAUCACUAGACCGCAAAAUCACAAUCUGUCAAUCACCAUUUUAGCCAUAAUUCUUUCUACUUGCGCAAUCCAAAUUUUAUAAGGUUUUCGACAAUGCAUUGUUUUUCAAUAAGUACAAUGGAAAACAAAGAGAUUAGAGAGAGUAACACAAAAGCAGAAAACAAGUUCCCUUUUUAAACAUCCUUAGCAAUGAGAUCACCAUUGAGAAACUCUCUGUAGGCAGCAACGGGCCAAAUGAAACCACGGAAGAUGAUCCGACUAGCCAAAGGAACAUCGAUGAUGAUCUCUUUCAUCGCGGGUUUCUUCUCACCACUAAUAGCUAUUAAGUAGCUUCUUCCAACCCACCCGAUCCAUCCAGCAAUGUAGAGGAAAAGAAUCCCUGGAGUAAUGAACUCUCCCCAAUGCCGCUGGUCUCCGUUCACUAUCAAGUGCGGUAAACCGUCUGACCCGCAUAACAAUCCGUACUUCCCGUAGUUGUCGAACCUAACAUACAUUCAUAAGCACAUCAACUUCAAACCAAUCCACAGUUCCACAAGCUCCUCAAUAGAUCAUAUCAAUGAUCAAAUUUAACAUGUCUAGCAACUUCGAAAACUCACUAACUCACCAAAAAAAUCAUACUAAAGCAAUGGAUCUAGCAAGUAAUUCACUAAAACAGAGAAAAACUCUGUUUCAGAACAGAGGAAAGCUCUGUUUCAGAACAGAGAAAAAGCUCUGGUUUAACGAAGAAAUAGAAAUGGAAGACGAACCUGCGUUUGGUUUUCUCGAUCUGAGCAUUGAGAGCAAGAGCAGGGGCAGAUUCAGGAGCGUAGAGCUUAAGAGAAGAUUCAAGCUUCUUGAUCUGUUGCUUCUCUCUUUUAGCGAACUGUUUUGAGUCCUUGCAAGGAGUCAAACCUGAGAUAUCAGCGACAGCUGGCAUAGGAGCAGAGAGGAGGAUGGAAGAGAGGGCGACGGCGGCGGAGAAAGCUUUCAUGGAUUGAGGUGUGGAGGAGGAGGAUUUGUCAUCGGAGCAGACGAAUCUUGCGGAGGAUUUAGGUACGGAUUGAGUGAGAGAUUUGUUAGAUCUCGGGUUGAGAACGAGAUUCGCCGGGAUAGUGAGCGACAUGGCGCUUUGUCGGGUUCUUUGGAGAUUUCGAAUUCUAGGGUUCUGGA